AAGUCGUAACAAGGUUUCCGUAGGUGAACCUGCGGAAGGAUCAUUACCAAUUAACUUGGAUCUAGUUGGGUAAAACUAACUAGUAUCUAACACCUUGUGAACAUGUGACUGCUUUCACGAGCAGCUUUUGGUAGAGAGAAGAGGUAUUCUUCAUAUUCUCUACCAGAGGACCAAAUAAAACACCUUUCGUAAACUAUACUUUUUAAAAACAAACAUAAUACAACCUUUAACAAUGGAUCUCUUGGUUCCU
rnacentral:misc_RNA from 1 species